CGCGUUCCUCUAAUGCAAAUGGCGGAUUCGAAGCCGGUAUCGCGUUGCGUAUGAGAACGCUGAACGGCAGAAAAUUCCGAAAAAGUUGCCACGCAACGAGGUCCCGCGGGGCCGAGAUCGCGGCUUUGUGUUGUGUAUGUGUGUGUGUACGUGUCCCGCGGCAUUGGACGAAAUGGCUGCCGACUACAACGAAAACCGGCGUUGGUGAGUGUUGAAACAUUAAUAUUUUUAAAGUGCUCGCUAUGAAAAGUUACACAGCCCUCUUUCGUAAAUCGACAAUGGCUGUGAAAUAUUUAUAUGCAUUUCUUUUCUGAGACAACACAGAGGAACUUUAUUCUGGACGAAUACAAAAUAAUUUAAUAUAAAUUAGUAAGAGGUUUUAAAAACGUGACAAUGUACAAUAUGAGAAAGUUAAUAGUUAAUGCAAGUUUAUUCCAUAUCGUGCUGCUGAUUGAGUUAAUUAUGAAUCACGGCAGCGUGUGGAGAAAAAUAAAUUUUACAUUUUAAGUUAUGUUAUCGUAAUGGUAGAAAAGAGCAUACAAAAAUAUCAUUUAUGAAUUUCGCAUGGAUAUUUUCUGCGUUUCAGACUGUAAAUAUCUGAAUGCAAAAUUAAUAAUCGUAUCAAUCCGCCAGGAACAAACGAUUCUUAAAAUAAUUCACAUAUCCUAGCUUUUCCCUUUUGUGAGUUACGUAUUUUCAAGCGUACGAUUACAGACUAUAGCAUAAACUAUAGCUAUGCUUUUAUCGAUGAUGGUUAAAUAGCAGAGAAACGUUGCAAGUGUCAUUAUCGUUCGAAAUAUUUAGUGAGAUUAGAUCGUUACUCAUUGAAUAAAAUAACACAGGUACAUUGGACGAUAUCUUUAAUUUAAUCAGAAAUCAUAUUAUUUUUACUAUUAUUUAUUUUUUCCUACCUCUUCUAUCAAUAUUAGUCCCAUGUUACUAUUUCGAAUAUCUUCUUAUUAAAAUCUGCCUUGUAAAUACUUGUCGUUCGCAACGUUUCUCUCAAUUAAUAUCUUAACAAACCUAAGGCGGAUUGAUUACGAGCGAUGUGCAGUUAAGUGGCACUACGCGCGAUGUUACAUCUCGAUACAAAA